UAAUGUGGGUACUGGGAGUUGAAC
rnacentral:piRNA from 1 species